rnacentral:rRNA from 1 species
GGCUCUUUGUUAAAAUAUAAAUAAAGAGUCGGACCUGCCCAGUGAAAUAUUUUUAACGGCCGCGGUACUCUGACCGUGCAAAGGUAGCAUAAUCAUUUGCCUUAUAAUUGAAGGCUUGUAUGAAUGGUUUGACAAGAAUGAAUCUGUCUCUUUAUAAUUAAAUAUAAUUUUAUUUGCAGGUGAAGAAGCCUGUAUGAAAUUGAAAGACAAGAAGACCCUAUCGAGCUUUAAGGCAAUUAAUAAAACUAAACUCAUAUUUAUAUUGAAUUAGUUAUUAAAAAUUUUAGUUGGGGCGACAAAGGAACAAACAAAGCUUCCUUACUAUUUUAUACAGGCAAGUUGUGAUCCAUUUAUUUUGAUUAAAGGAAUUAGUUACCGUAGGGAUAACAGCAUUAUCUUUUUUGAGAGCUCAAAUCGAAAAAAAGGCUUGUGACCUCGAUGUUGGACCAGAAUAUCCUAAAGAUGCAGCCGUCUUUGAGGGUUGGUCUGUUCGACCAUUAAAAUUCU